UACGUAGGGUGCAAGCGUUAUUCGGAAUAACUGGGCGUAAAGGGCGUGUAGGUGGCUCCAGAAGUCCGGCGUUAAAUCUCUCGGCUCAACCGAGAGCUCGCGUUGGAAACCAUGAAGCUUGAGUAUUGCAGGGGUGAGUGGAAUUCCCGGUGUAGCAGUGAAAUGCGUUGAUAUCGGGAGGAACACCAAUGGCGAAGGCAGCUCACUAGGCAAUUACUGACACUGAGGCGCGAAAGCGUGGGGAGCGAACAGG
rnacentral:rRNA from 1 species